rnacentral:rRNA from 1 species
CCUACGGGAGGCAGCAGUGGGGAAUCUUGCGCAAUGGGCGAAAGCCUGACGCAGCCAUGCCGCGUGAAUGAUGAAGGUCUUAGGAUUGUAAAAUUCUUUCACCGGGGACGAUAAUGACGGUACCCGGAGAAGAAGCCCCGGCUAACUUCGUGCCAGCAGCCGCGGUAAUACGUACGUGCCAGCAGCCGCGGUAAU